ACGUAGGGACCAAGCGUUGUUCGGAAUUACUGGGCGUAAAGCGCGCGCAGGCGGCCGUUUAAGUCUACCCGUGAAAUGCCGGGGCUCAACCCCGAGCACGCCGGGGGAUACUGGACGGCUGGAGACACGUAGAGGCAAGCGGAAUUCCGGGUGUAGCGGUGGAAUGCGUAGAGAUCCGGAAGAACACCGGAGGCGAAGGCGGCUACCUGGACCGGUUCUGACGCUGAGGAGCGAAAGCCAGGGGAGCAAACGGGA
rnacentral:rRNA from 1 species